CAGCGCCACAAGUGGGGACCGUUGUUAUUGGGCCUAAAGCGUCCGUAGCCGGCUUAGAAAAUUUUCUGUGAAAUUGUCAGGCUCAACCUGACAGCGUGCAGGGAACACUACUAAACUUGAGACCGGGAGGAGUCAGAGGUAUUCCAGGGGUAGCGGUAAAAUGCAAUAAUCCUUGGAGGACCACCUGUGGCGAAGGCGUCUGACCAGAACGGGUCUGACGGUGAGGGACGAAGGCUAGGGGAGCGAUCCGGAUUAGAUACCCGAGUAGUCC
rnacentral:rRNA from 1 species